rnacentral:rRNA from 1 species
GUGGGGAAUAUUGGACAAUGGGCGAAAGCCUGAUCCAGCCAUGCCGCGUGUGUGAAGAAGGUCUUCGGAUUGUAAAGCACUUUAAGUUGGGAGGAAGGGCAGUAAGUUAAUACCUUGCUGUUUUGACGUUACCGACAGAAUAAGCACCGGCUAACUUCGUGCCAGCAGCCGCGGUAAUACGAGGGGUGCAAGCGUUAAUCGGAAUUACUGGGCGUAAAGCGCGCGUAGGUGGUUUUGUAAGUUGGAGGUGAAAUCCCCGGGCUCAACCUGGGAACUGCCUCCAAAACUGCAUGACUAGAGUACGGUAGAGGGUAGUGGAAUUUCCUGUGUAGCGGUGAAAUGCGUAGAUAUAGGAAGGAACACCAGUGGCGAAGGCGACUACCUGGACUGAUACUGACACUGAGGUGCGAAAGCGUGGGGAGCAAACAGGAUUAGAUACCCGAGUAGUCC